rnacentral:rRNA from 1 species
AGGACGAACGCUGGCGGCGUGCUUAACACAUGCAAGUCGAGCGGUAAGGCCUUUCGGGGUACACGAGCGGCGAACGGGUGAGUAACACGUGGGUGAUCUGCCCUGCACUUCGGGAUAAGCCUGGGAAACUGGGUCUAAUACCGGAUAUGACCUCAGGUUGCAUGACUUGGGGUGGAAAGAUUUAUCGGUGCAGGAUGGGCCCGCGGCCUAUCAGCUUGUUGGUGGGGUAAUGGCCUACCAAGGCGACGGCGGGUAGCCGACCUGAGAGGGUGACCGGCCACACUGGGACUGAGACACGGCCCAGACUCCUACGGGAGGCAGCAGUGGGGAAUAUUGCACAAUGGGCGAAAGCCUGUUGCAGCGACGCCGCGUGAGGGAUGACGGCCUUCGGGUUGUAAACCUCUUUCAGCAGGACGAAGCGCAAGUGACGGUACCUGCAGAAGAACGCACCGGCUAACUACGUAGCCAGCAGCCGC